rnacentral:rRNA from 1 species
UACGUAGGUGGCGAGCGUUGUCCGGAUUUAUUGGGCGUAAAGAGCCCGCAGGCGGCUCGGCAAGUUUCAGGUGAAAUCUCCCGGCUUAACCGGGAGGGUGCCUGGAAAACUGCCGGGCUUGAGGCAGGGAGAGGGAUGCGGAAUUCCCGGUGUAGUGGUGAAAUGCGUAGAUAUCGGGAGGAACACCAGCGGCGAAGGCGGCAUCCUGGCCCUGUCCUGACGCUCAGGGGCGAAAGCGUGGGGAGCAAACCGG